UUUGCAGGCAGGUUGCCUCAGGCUGCCCUGGAAUUCUUCUGGCAAAGGGGCCGGUGCAGUCCAGAGAGAGGGGUUUGGGGCAAGGAGAGCUAGUGACCCCCAUCCUGUGGAAUGGGUGGAGGCCCUAGGGAUCCCUGGAAUUUUGUUGGAGGAGCCUGGAGGGCAGCCCCUUAACAGACAGCCCUACCAUGUGCCUGGGAUAGUGCUGAAUUGGUGAUACAAAGGAGAAUGGGACUUGCUCUCCAGCUCCAAGGAGCUUCCAGACCAAUGGGAAAGCCACGUCCACAAAAGAUGCUUGCCCAGUGUGAUCAGAGAUCACCAACGCCUCAUAGAAAAAGCUUGUUCACUUGAGAAAGGAGGCAUGGCUGGAUGAGAGGAGACAAGAGGACUUGAACUCCAGAAUUCUAGAAACAGCACAGAAAUCAGGAUCCCGUACACCAGUUCUGCCUCCAGGAGAAAUUAGAUGUCAGCCAGAACCAUGUCAUGUUUUAAUUAGGUAGCCAAUUAAUUUUGAAGAGAGGUAACAGAACCAAGUAACAUUCUUUCCCCCCUCUCUCUCUUCC